UACGUAGGGGGCAAGCGUUGUCCGGAAUCAUUGGGCGUAAAGCGCGUGUAGGCGGCCCGGUAAGUCCGCUGUGAAAGUCGGGGGCUCAACCCUCGAAUGCCGGUGGAUACUGUCGGGCUAGAGUGCGGAAGAGGCGAGUGGAAUUCCUGGUGUAGCGGUGAAAUGCGCAGAUAUCAGGAGGAACACCAAUUGCGAAGGCAGCUCGCUGGGACGUGACUGACGCUGAGACGCGAAAGCGUGGGGGAGCGAACAGG
rnacentral:rRNA from 1 species